AUGGUAAGCCAGGUCAUGUACUCUGUGGAUUCUGAUGCAGAAAGUAGAGGAUCCUCUCCAACUGAAUCUCUCCAAACAUCUGAACCCACUAUAUCUGAUGUAGGCAAUCUAUUGAGUGGCAAGUCCUCCCCUCGGCUGUCUCCUUCUGGCACCAUUAUGGCAACAAGCGAGACCUCCAAUGCAGCACAAAUCUUGAAGGCCAACAUUGAUGGAGAGGAAGUGGAUACCACCAGUCAUUCUGGUGUAGCUCAAAACAUUGUCAGGGACGAUAUGUCAACCAGCCCAGACAUGGUCAAAGAUGUCACACUUCCAACCCCAUCCUCUGAUAACUUGGGCAGUGAUGAUGACGUCACCUGCCUCAUCAGCAUGUUAGUAAUGAGAAUUCUAACAGAAAUCCAAACCCCAGCAGAAGAUUACCCAGUUGACGUCACACGCAAGUCACAAGACCUGAUCCCUAAAGUUAUGGAGGUCUUCUGUGCAUGGUCAGGCUGCUCUGAGACACAAGCCUAUCCAGAGAACUUGAGGAUUCAUAAAGUCUACAGAGUCGUCUAUAAAAAUCUGUUGGAGGAGUUUGGCUCGGAGAAAAUCCUCCAACAGGCCGUGUCGACUCAGGACUCUUCAUUUGAUAGGAUUCUUGUCAAGUCUUUGAGUGAAGCGCUUCUCCACAGAUGUAAUGAGGCAGUGAGGGCAGCCUCAAGAACAUCAGUCAAAACCACCGGGCCUAAGGCUCUUCCACUGGCUGAGGAUGUGAGGGCUAGCAGCGGGAAACUAUCUUUUCUACAAAGGCUGGUCAGGCUGACAAGCAACUUAAAGCUAUUCAAGAAGGGGAACAAGAAGGAUUCCCACCGCUCUGAAUCAGAACAAGUACAGACCACUGCUGAAGAUGGCAUGCGUAAGUUCACACAACAGGACAACAGUCUGUUUGAGAGAUUGGUGUACAAAUAAAUGCCACUUCAAAAUAACCUUACAAAGGUUAUAUAUGCAAUCAGUAGCCAUCUCUUAUGUAAAAGUAAUUAUAUUCUCCAAAACUCAAGCUGUUGGUUCUCAUUUAUCAGUGUCAGUUAUGUUGAGUUGUAACAUACAUUACAUCAUUUCUAAAUUAAAGUGCAUGUCAACUCUCUCUCUCUUCUGUAGUGCCCAGCAUAGUGCCACAUGCUGCUAUGUCUGCACUGCCAAAGGAUCUCCCCGCCAGCUCCCAACAGGAGACGCCUCACAAACGUCCACUUCUCGUCAGGAUGUUUUCUGCCAUCUCCAAAGGCCUGUUCAAGCCCUUCAAACAGUCCUUAAAGACCAAGUAACUUCAGACAAUUUAUUAAACGUCAUUCAUUGCAUUAAAUUGGCCUUUGUCUUCUUAUGUGCUCCCGUUAACAGACCAGAUUACAACACUGGUCUUUUAAAUGUUAGCAGGGAUAGCAACAUUGACUAUAGUGGUGUGUGUAUAGCCCUUCUACACAGUCUGACUCUUCUGACACUGUGUGACAUGCCCUCUGAUCCAGUGAUCUAGGAUAUUCUGAGUGGCUUUAGGCCUGAAUCUCUGCCCUCUGGCCCAAAUAAAUGUUUUCUCUUCUGAUAUAUCUGCCACUGUCAGCAGCCAGCAGGGGAAAACAGACAACGCUGUUGAGAGCUUUCUUUUCUCCCUCAUGACUAAAACACUGAGAAAGGCUUUUAUCUAUUGCAGCAUAUUCCAUCUUUUGAUUUAACCUAUUAUACGGUAGAAGUACCCAUUAUUUCCCAACGGUUAUAUCACAGGAAAUGUGUUAUAAAAAGUAAACUUACAGUGCAUCCGGAAAGUAUUCAGACCACUUGACUUUUUCCACAUUGUUACGUUACAGCCUUAUUCUAAAAUUGAUACAAUUAUUUUUUCCUCUCAUUAAGCUACACAAAACACCUCAUGACAAAGCGAAAAGUGUAGAACAUUUUAGCAAAUUUAUUAAGAAUAAAAACAGAAUUACCUUAUUUAAAUAAUUAUUGAGAACCUUUGCUAUGAGACUCGAAAUUGAUCUCAGGUGCAUCCUGUUUCCAUUGAUCAUCCUUGAGAUGUUUCUACAACUUGUUUGGAGUCCUGUGGUAAAUUCAAUUGAUUGGACAUGAUUUGGAAAGAAACACAGACCUGGGGGAAGGGUAUGAGAAACAAUAUUCUCUGAUCUGAUGAUACCGAGAUUGAACUCUUUGGCCUGAAUCAGGAUCCUGGGAAAGAUGAACGGAGCAAAGUACAGAGAUCCUUGAUGAAAACCUGCUCCAGAGGUUCACCUUCCAACAGGACAACGACCCUAAGCACACAGCCAAGACAAUGCAGGAGUGGAUUCGGGACAAGUCUCUGAAUGUCCAUGAAUGGCCCAGCCAGAGCCCGGACCUGAACCCAAUCGAACAUCUCUGGAGAGACCUGAAAAAACUGUGCAUCCCCAUCCAGUCUGACAGAACAUGAGAGGAUCUGCAGAGAAAAAUGGGAGAAACUCCCCAAAUACAGGUGUACCAAGCUUGUAGCGUCAUACCCAAAAAGACUCGAGGCUGUAAUCGCUACCAAAGGUGCUUCAACAAAGUACUGAGUAAAGGGUCUGAAUAUUUGUAAAUGUGAUCAGUAUUUUAUUUUUAGUACAUAGGUUUUUGAUUAAAAAAAUAAUAGAACAGUUUUUGCUUACUUAUUAUGGGUUACUAUCUGUAGAGGGGGGGGAUUGAAUCAAUUUUAGAAUAAGCCUGUAACGUAACAAUGUGGAAAAGGUCAAGGGGUCUGAAUACUUUCCGAAUGCACUUUAUGUAAUGAAAAUAUUAGCUGGUUGCCACUAUAGACAGCUAGGUUAUCCAGUGCAGUGGUAAUACUGCCUGCCUUGGGAGAUAACGUAGGAUGCGUGCUUAUCCGGGUGCCAGAGACACAAUCACAAGCUUUCUUCAGACUACAUAGCUCAAACUUCCAACGUAAAGAUAUGAUUAUCACUACAUAGGUUUUUUUUAACAAGAAGGGUGUUUUCUAUAUCUACCAACUAUGAAAUUACAGACAUCAUAAACGGUAAGCAUGAGAAUAAUAUCAUCAAGGCGGACAGGGACAAUGUAUGAAUACACAAAACAUUAUUCAAAUGGACAUUCCCCAAAUGAGCUAUGCACCAGCCCAUAGCCACAGGAUAUCUAUGGAGUAACAUUAAUAUAUUCAUCAAUUUAAAAAAAGGCAUGAAUAUUGUUUUUCUGCUUUUCUGAUCUUAAACCUCCCCCUGGAUGUUGUCCAGGUUUCCUCCAGGGGAGACCUUCUGAAACAGUCGCGAAGGAAACAGCCGACAGUUACAGUACUGUGUUGAAGAUAGAUGAUGACACUCUUAAAAGACAGGUCAUUCCUUUACAUGGAGCAGUUCCUUAAACCAGGUUAGAUUCAACACAGCCACCUCAAACUGGACUCCACCACUCCUUCAUAACGCUGGAUCUGCUAGUCAGUCACUGAGUGCAUUAACACUGAUGAGAUGUCCUGUUUAGCCUAGCUGAAAGGGGAGCUCUAACUAGUCCUGUGGGCACCUAGCUGCUG
rnacentral:lncRNA from 1 species